rnacentral:rRNA from 1 species
CCCCGGGCUUAACCUGGGAACUGCGCUUGUGACUGGCAGGCUAGAGUACGGCAGAGGGGGGUGGAAUUCCACGUGUAGCAGUGAAAUGCGUAGAGAUGUGGAGGAACACCGAUGGCGAAGGCAGCCCCCUGGGCCUGUACUGACGCUCAUGCACGAAAGCGUGGGGGGCAAACAGGAUUAGAUACCCUGGUAGUCCACGCCCUAAACGAUGUCGACUAGUUGUUCGUAGAGGUAACUCUGUGAGUAACGCAGCUAACGCGUGAAGUCGACCGCCUGGGGAGUACGGCCGCAAGGUUAAAACUCAAAGGAAUUGACGGGGACCCGCACAAGCGGUGGAUGAUGUGGAUUAAUUCGAUGCAACGCGAAAAACCUUACCUACCCUUGACAUGCCUGGAACCUUGGUGAGAGCCGAGGGUGCCUUCGGGAACCAGGACACAGGUGCUGCAUGGCUGUCGUCAGCUCGUGUCGUGAGAUGUUGGGUUAAGUCCCGCAACGAGCGCAACCCUUGCCAUUAAUUGCCAUCAUUUAGUUGGGCACUUUAAUGGGACUGCCGGUGACAAACCGGAGGAAGGUGGGGAUGACGUCAAGUCCUCAUGGCCCUUAUGGGUAGGGCUUCACACGUCAUACAAUGGUCGGUACAGAGGGUUGCCAAGCCGCGAGGUGGAGCUAAUCCCUUAAAGCCGAUCGUAGUCCGGAUUGCAGUCUGCAACUCGACUGCAUGAAGUCGGAAUCGCUAGUAAUCGCAGAUCAGCAUGCUGCGGCGAAUACGUUCCCGGGUCUUGUACACACCGCCCGUCACACCAUGGGAGUGGGUUUCACCAGAAGUAGGUAGCUUAACCUUCGGGAGGGCGCUUACCACGGUGAGAUUCAUGACUGGGGUGAAGUCGUAACAAGGUAACC